AUGGAAGUAGAGCCGUCUCUCCCGGACGACCUCCUGCUCGAGAUCCUCGUCCACGUCAAGGACGAGGCUGCUCUCUUCCGCUCAGCCACGGUGUGCAAGAGGUGGCUCCGUCUCAUCACCGAUCGCUGGUUCCUCCGGCGCCGCUGGCCCCAGUACUCCCCAUCCUCUUUCGUUGGCUUCUUCACCCGUGGAAAUCGCCAUGGGGAACCAGACGAAGGGUCUUUGCCUGGCCCGGAGCCAUGCUUCAUACCGGCACGGCGAUCUGCUCUGGGCCCUUGCCGCCGCUCCUUGGGAUCCUUUGUGACCUCUGCCCACGCCGGCCUCUUCAACGGCGCGUUGCCGCUCAUCUCACGCCACGGCCUUGUUGUUGUGUGUCUUGAAGCACACGACAGCACCGGCUAUCCAGACAGGACCAUUUUUCAAUUGGGUGUAUGCAACCUGCACGCCGCCACGUGUGUCAUGCUCCCUCCGCUAAAAGUUAGCCCAAACUUCUACUGCUAUGACUGUAAUGGCUAUGCCAUUCUGACCGGUGUAGAUUUUUGCUCCAAAGAUGAGUUAACACCCACGCUGCAGCCAAGCAACCCUUUAUCUUUCUUCAAAGUGAUCAUCAUUGGAUAUACCGGUGAUGACUUGAAGUACAAUCUCCAUACGUUCUCGUCCGACAAAUCAAGUUGGGACGAACGUACCAAUUGCUUCGACGGUGAUGCGCAGUCAUACGACUAUGGGUCGUUUAGCGAUGCCAUUGUGCACAAUGGCUUGGCACACUGGAUAUUUCAUAGUUAUGGAGAAGGGUGCCUUCAAGUCACUAAUUUGAAUGCUAAGACCGGCCAUAUCUCCUUGACGAAUCUGCCUUUGAAACUGAAUUACCAACCCACUAAACCUUCAUGCCUUACAUUAGGCAUCAAUGGUGUGUUAUCACUGCUAUGGAUGCAAAAGGAAGGUCCCCAGCUAGAUAUCUGGGAGCAACGCGAGGACCAAGGAAACAUGAGGGGUACUUCAGAAUGGCUAUGUACUCGAACGAUCGAGCUAAGACAACCAGUAAAAAACAAUGAAAUAAGAGAACUACUUGUCUUGAGAGAGAAAUGUGGAGCAUUGCUCAUCACUGACAACUAUGGACAAGUUUACGCUACCGAUCUCGAAACGGGGAUGAUGGAGAAGAUAGUGGAUUGGCCUUCCAGGCGCUCCAUAUGCCACUGGGAUUCCAUGCUCCUGGAGAUUGAUUGGCCCACGAUCUUCAUUUCAGGUCUUACCAAAUAA
rnacentral:rRNA from 1 species